rnacentral:rRNA from 1 species
UACGAAGGGGACUAGCGUUGUUCGGAAUUCCUGGGCGUAAAGCGCACGUCGGCGGAUUUGUAAGUCAGGGGUGAAAUCCCGGGGCUCAACCUCGGAACUGCCUUUGAUACUGCAAAUCUCGAGUCCGAUAGAGGUGGGUGGAAUUCCUAGUGUAGAGGUGAAAUUCGUAGAUAUUAGGAAGAACACCGGUGGCGAAGGCGGCCCACUGGAUCGGUACUGACGCUGAGGUGCGAAAGCGUGGGGAGCAAACAGG